ACCCCACAAUAGGUGUCACCUCCUCGCGGUGUGGGGCGGGCAACUCACUCUAUAUGGGUGAGGCUAAGAACACC
rnacentral:ribozyme from 1 species